GCAGGGCGGCAGUUGAUACGAAAAGGCUGUGUGUGUGCAUCACAGGUGGAUAGAAGAGCUUUGGGAUUACUAGCACCGCGUCAGUACGUCCUCUAAGUGACUGUUUCCUUAUCCGCCGCCGCUGGUCUGUGCUGCGGAGAAGGAGCGGGUAUGCGUGCCGCGUCUCACAUGCGCCACGGUGCUUGAACACCCCACCCGGUCACUCACCUACCGAGCACCGCCACCCUCUGAGCUGCACACUUCAAAGCAAUUAAGGGGAGUGGCACACGUGGCGCCACUAAUCACUGCUUGCCUGCCGCUCACCGCACACCGCACACCGCCUCAGUGAUGGAAUUCAAGGAUGGCGCUCCGGAGGGUGAGGUCCCGCCAAACCACUGCCCCGUGUGCCUGGAGGCCUGGGACACACAGGACCGUCUACCAAAGUUUCUCACCUGCCACCAUAGCGUGUGUAUCACCUGCGCGGGGCGUCUGCAGCGGCC